rnacentral:lncRNA from 1 species
GCUGACUUUCUAGGUUAUUCUCCUGUCUCUGACUCACAUCUCAAAUUUGGAGACAGAAUCAUCCUAUGCAACCCAGCUGACUUCAAACUCUUCAUCUUCCUGCCACUGCUUCUGGAAGUGCUGGCAAUACUACUGUAUGGUACUACACCCUUCAUGGACUGCACCUUCCUAUCAUCCUAACUUGACUUUGCCCCCGGGGGAAUGCACCAGUGGCUCAAGCAUGGUGACUCUUCCUUUGGAUCUUCUAAUUAGUGUGCAAAAGGAGUCCUUUGUAGGGCCCAGCUAGGAGGCCACUUGCUGUACGAUGUCAUUACAAAGAUCAGAUUUACCACAUCUGUAAAAUGGAGGGGAGUGAGGCAGGUUGUUUAAAGAGCUGCUGAAACUAAAAGCUUGCAGUGGAUCAGGCCCAGGGGAGCCUUAGGGCACAGCCCAGCUAAAUGGCCUCCACCCUGCUAUCAGAUUAAACCAACUGCUCUCUGCUCACCUGAGGGGCACGUGUGUACCCUGACCGACCAAAGAGGAGGAGGAAGGAGGAAAGGAGGAGAUCUGGAGUGAACUGCAUGUGGGCAGGAGAAAGAAAGGUAAUGACCCCAGAAUAACUGAGUCUCUCUUUCUCUUUCUCUUUCUCUUUCUCUCUCUCUCUCUCUGUGUGUGUGUGUGUGUGUGUGUGUGUGUGUGUGUGUGUGUGUGUGUUUGUGUGUGUGCGCGCGCGCUCAUGUACUUGUUACCAAGAAGAUAAAUUCUAAACAUUCUCAGCCUUAAGGGCAGGAAGAAAUCACCUGCUUCCCUCCCAAAUUCCACUAACCUCAAAACGGAAUCAGCUGUUAUUCAGCUCAUAAGCUCUUUGGCCAGCACCAUGCCAGGACCCUUCCAGGUUCCAGAUGCCAGAACUAGGGCAAAGGGAGGACGGAGAGGGGCCAGGCAGGGGCACCUGGCCCUCAAAGGACUUGGGCACAGUACCUUACCAGCUGUCACUCGGAGAGGGAGAGGCAAACAGUCAGAGCAGGCUUAAAACUACUUUGGGGGUUUUUAGGGGCUGAUGGGUCAGCACAGCAUACUCAGAACACAAACCUUAAGGAAGCUGUAUUGGCCUUGCAGCUUUGGCAGUUUCCUUCCGAUCCUGUGCUGUUUCCAGAACAGCAAAAUGAGUUCAGUCUCCAGUAGCUACCUACUGGGGAUGCGGUGAGGAUUCCAGAGUUUCUGUGAGUACCCUGCUGCCGUUCUGCCUUGCACAUAGCCAGAGCACGGAAACCCUGUUUUUAUAAAGAGCUGAUAUCCUAUUUUUAUAAAGAGUUGAUAUCCCCCUGUCAAUUUUUCUGGGGACAGGGUCUGUUAUUUCCACAUAAUUCUUCAUGGACCCUUCUUGUUCUUGUUUGCUUUCGAUAGAGUCUCACUGUAUCAUUCCCUGGCUAGCUUGCAACCUGCUGUGUAGAGCAGGCCAGCCUGGCCUCAGACUUACAGCAAUCUUCCUGCUUCUAUCUUCUGAGUACUGGGAUUAGAGGCGUACAUCACCACACCAGCCUCUUCGUGGAAACUAUUCCUCCUAGGCCAGGCAGGCUGCCUUUUUCUGUUCAAAUGUUCCAACUUCUUCUCAAGGGCCCCUCUGUAGGAUGGUAUCUUUCUUUGUCUCAACUGGGAUACCA